rnacentral:rRNA from 1 species
AUUGAACGCUGGCGGCAGGCCUAACACAUGCAAGUCGAGCGGAUGAGAGGAGCCUGCUCUUUGAUUCAGCGGCGGACGGGUGAGUAAUGCCUAGGAAUCUGCCUGGUAGUGGGGGACAACGUUUCGAAAGGAACGCUAAUACCGCAUACGUCCUACGGGAGAAAGUGGGGGAUCUUCGGACCUCACGCUAUUAGAUGAGCCUAGGUCGGAUUAGCUAGUUGGUGAGGUAAUGGCUCAACAAGGCGACGAUCCGUAACUGGUCUGAGAGGAUGAUCCGUCACACUGGAACUGAGACACGGUCCAGACUCCUACGGGAGGCAGCAGUGGGGAAUAUUGGACAAUGGGCGCAAGCCUGAUCCAGCCAUGCCGCGUGUGUGAAGAAGGUCUUCGGAUUGUAAAGCACUUUAAGUUGGGAGGAAGGGCAGUAACUUAAUACGUUGCUGUUUUGACGUUACCGACAGAAUAAGCACCGGCUAACUCUGUGCCAGCCGCCGCCGUAAUAC